rnacentral:lncRNA from 1 species
GAUAAGCCUUUUGGAAUGAUUCAGAGUAACCAUGCGACUUGAUGAAGCCUUGCAAUGUUUCACGGUGACUUGUAUCUUGGUUGUCUUCUAGUUACCCCAUUGAAGACCAUGAAUCCCAGGUCCAGAUCAAUGCCAUCCACAAGCACGGUCUUUGCAUGACCACCAAGGUGACCCUGCUUCUCGUAUAGUAUCACUUCCGCCCCUGACUUUGCCAAAACGUAUGCGGAUACCAACCCGCUUAUACCCGCACCAACAACUGCCACUUUCAUCUUUACU